rnacentral:tRNA from 1 species
AAGGGAGACCUAAUUCAGGUAGGAGACGAAAAAAAAGUAGUCGCUACCAAGAAUCAAUCCCAAAAGGUCGGAGCGAGGCGAAAUUGGCUUUCAAACUAGGUUCUGGGUUCACACAAGACCUGAAUCAGGAAUAAGGGCUAUUAGCUCAGGUGGUUAGAGCGCACCCCUGAUAAGGGUGAGGUCCCUGGUUCGAGUCCAGGAUGGCCCACCUGUACAGGUGGCAAAAAGAAAGAAAAGAAGCGAGGAAUCAGCACCUUAUCUUACUGACAUAGUAAGAGAGAAUGCUGGCUCUGAGUAAAGAGUCCAGAGGAACCUUGAAAACUGCAUAGAGCUAGGUGAAAAAGCCAAAAAAGAAGACCGCAA